GGGAAAAUAGCUCAGCGGUAGAGCGGAUGUCUUGCACGCAUCAGGUCUCAGGUUCGAAUCCUGGUUUUUCCA
rnacentral:tRNA from 1 species